AAACCGGUCCUUUUCAGGACCAUCGAAAAUGAUUCCUAAUUGAUUG
rfam:Aedes albopictus isolate Foshan contig258173, whole genome shotgun sequence.